AUAUUUUCUCGGCUGUCACGGCAUACGGCAGCCAGAUAUCAUUGUUUCUAUGGUCCACUUUUGCAUUCCUUUUCCCCCGUUCUCAUUCCUCAAGUGACAAACUAAGAGCCUUAACAUGUGCAGACGACACAGGCCCGAUAUGACAGGUAGGCUUAGUUAUGCCCUUUUCCGCAAAUAGUCGAAAGGGAGAAGCCGGAGGUGUGUGUAUAUAAAUGGGAGGAGGAUCAUAGACAAGUGACACUUCACAGUACCCAGUGGUCGGCGAAGGACAGGCUCGGAGAGUAAGCGUUCUCGGUUGCCAGGAGUUGAAGUACUUGUAAAAAGCAACCAUGUGUGACGACGAUACUUGUGCCCUCGUGUGCGACAAUGGCUCCGGCCUCUGCAAAGGCUGGUUUCGCCGGAGACGACGCC
rnacentral:misc_RNA from 1 species